AUUGAACGCUGGCGGCAUGCUUUACACAUGCAAGUCGAACGGUAACAGGGUGCUUGCACCGCUGACGAGUGGCGAACGGGUGAGUAAUGCGUCGGAACGUGCCGAGUAGUGGGGGAUAACGCAGCGAAAGUUGUGCUAAUACCGCAUACGUACUGAGGUAGAAAGUGGGGGACCUUCGGGCCUCACGCUAUUCGAGCGGCCGCCGUCUGAUUAGCUAGUAGGGGAGGUAAAGGCUCACCUAGGCGACGAUCAGUAGCGGGUCUGAGAGGAUGAUCCGCCACACUGGGACUGAGACACGGCCCGGACUCCUACGGGAGGCAGCAGUGGGGAAUUUUGGACAAUGGGCGAAAGCCUGAUCCAGCCAUGCCGCGUGUCUGAAGAAGGCCUUCGGGUUGUAAAGGACUUUUGUCAGGGAGGAAAUCCCUAGUGCUAAUAACACUGGGGGAUGACAGUACCUGAAGAAUAAGCACCGGCUAACUACGUGCCAGCCGCCGCAGUAA
rnacentral:rRNA from 1 species